rfam:Hordeum vulgare subsp. vulgare, WGS project CAJW01000000 data, contig: morex_contig_2549959
GAACUAUUCCCUCCGUCUGGAAAUACUCUUCGUAGGAAUGGAUGUAUCUAGAUGCAUUUUAGUUUGCGAUACAUCCAUUUCUAUUCAUUUUUACGACAAGUAAUUCCGGACAGAGGGAGUAUUUU